UCCACACAUCAGUGAGUAGCAGCACCGCAAUCUUUACUCGACGGCACGCUCCGUGGGCCUAGAAAAUGCCUUGACGUUCGAGCACUUCGGGAGCUAUACCGGCGGACAGCCGGAUGCGGGUAGCUUGGCCGUUCCUUGCUCUGCGCAUCGCUUGAAAACCGGCGGUCAUCCUGCAGUGCACGCUGCCAGCGUGCUUUCUUGCCAGAGCCACCUCCCCUGCUGGUGAUGACCAUAUGCAGCCAAUGCUGAUGUGAACCCGAGGGAUUAACAAAUGCAGAUCUGCAAAGGAGCUGUCCUGAGGCACCAUGCUUACUCAAGUCAUGCAGCGAGAGUCAGCAUGCCUGGAAAAGUACAUCAAAGCACACCCCAUCUGGCUGACUGCACUACCUCAAGGAAACUGCCUUUCUCCUAUCUGCAAGUUCCUAAGAAGUUACUAUAUGAAGCAAGCCAGCAGGGCGUACGUGUUAGGCAUGGCAGCAUGGAGAACAAUAAACAUGA
rnacentral:lncRNA from 1 species